rnacentral:rRNA from 1 species
AGUCGUAACAAGGUUUCCGUAGGUGAACCUGCGGAAGGAUCAUUAAUGAGUUAGGGUCUUCUGGGCCCGAUCUCCAACCCUUUGUAUAAUUACCAUGUUGCUUUGGCGGGCCCGUCUUUAACUAGACCGCCGGGAGGCUUUUUCGCCCCUGGCCAGUGCUCGUCAAUAGCCCUUGACAAAUUCUUUUUAACCAUGUUAAAUCUGAAAAUAGUUAAAAUAAACCAAAACUUUCAACAACGGAUCUCUUGGUUCUGGCAUCGAUGAAGAACGCAGCGAAAUGCGAUAAGUAAUGCGAAUUGCAGAAUUCAGUGAGUCAUCGAAUCUUUGAACGCACAUUGCGCCCUUUAGUAUUCUGAAGGGCAUGCCUGUUCGAGCGUCAUUAUCACUAAUCAAGCCCGGCUUGCUGUUGGACCUUUUGUCGUAAAAAGACAGGCCCUAAAGAUAAUGACGGUGUCUUUUUGACCCUAGAUACAACGAGCUUUAAUUAGCACGUAUCUAUAGUGGACUUUUGGACCCGGUCUUUUGUAACCAAUUUUUUCAGGUUGGCCUCGGAUCAGGUAGGAAUACCCGCUGAACUUAAGCAUAUCAAUAAGCGGAGGAAAAGAAACCAACAGGGAUUACCUCAGUAACGGCGAGUGAAGCGGUAAUAGCUCAAAUUUGAAAUCUGGCUCUUUUAGGGUCCGAGUUGUAAUUUGUAGAGGAUGUUUCGGGCACAGUUAUGGUUUAAAUUUCUUGGAACAGAAUGUCAUAGAGGGUGAGAAUCCCGUCUUGACCGAUUACUUCGUCCAUGUGAAACUCCUUCGACGAGUUGAGUUGUUUGGGAAUGCAGCUCAAAAUGGGUGGUAAAUUUCAUCUAAAGCUAAAUAUUGGCCAGAGACCGAUAGCGCACAAGUAGAGUGAUCGAAAGAUGAAAAGCACUUUGAAAAGAGAGUUAAACAGUAUGUGAAAUUGUUGAAAGGGAAGCGCUUGUAAUCAGACUUGAGCUCAACAGUUCCCCCUUCGUUCUCGUUGGGUUAUUCUGUUUUGUCCAGGCCAACAUCAGUUCGAGUGGUUGGUUAAAGACUUUAGGAAUGUAUCUACCCCCCGGGGUCGACUUAUAGCCUAGAGUGUCAUGCAGCCUACUUGGACUGAGGAACGCGCUUCGGCUCGGAUGUUGGCGUAAUGGUUAUAAGCGAC